UACGAAGGGGGCUAGCGUUGCUCGGAAUUAUUGGGCGUAAAGAGCUCGUAGGCGGCUUGUCGCGUCGGAUGUGAAAGCCCGGGGCUUAACUCCGGGUCUGCAUUCGAUACGGGCAGGCUAGAGUGUGGUAGGGGAGAUCGGAAUUCCUGGUGUAGCGGUGAAAUGCGCAGAUAUCAGGAGGAACACCGGUGGCGAAGGCGGAUCUCUGGGCCAUUACUGACGCUGAGGAGCGAAAGCGUGGGGAGCGAACAGG
rnacentral:rRNA from 1 species